GGAUUGAUUAUGAUUUAUUUCCUCAAAAUCAUUCCUUGGAAAUCUGACCAAACUGAGUGAGAACUCAGUCUUGCAAUUCUCCUUGUAGCUGAGGUCA